rnacentral:rRNA from 1 species
AGAGUUUGAUCCUGGCUCAGAACGAACGCUGGCGGCAGGCCUAACACAUGCAAGUCGAGCGAGUGGAUUUCCUUCGGGAGAGAAGCUAGCGGCGGACGGGUGAGUAACACGUAGGUAACGUACCCUGGAGUCCGGGAUAACCAGUCGAAAGACUGGCUAAUACCGCAUGAGCUCGAGAGAGGAAAGCGGGGGACCGUAAGGCCUCGCGCGAUUGGAGCGGCCGAUAUCAGAUUAGGUAGUUGGUGGGGUAAAGGCCUACCAAGCCUGCGAUCUGUAGCUGGUCUGAGAGGACGGCCAGCCACACUGGCACUGACACACGGGCCAGACUCCUACGGGAGGCCGCAGUAGGGAAUCUUCCGCAAUGGGCGAAAGCCUGAUCCAGCCAUGCCGCGUGAGUGAUGAAGGCCCUAGGGUUGUAAAGCUCUUUCACCGAUGAAGAUAAUGACGGUAGUCGGAGAAGAAGCCCCGGCUAACUUCGUGCCAGCAGCCGCGGUAAUACGGAGGGGGCUAGCGUUGUUCGGAAUUACUGGGCGUAAAGCGUGCGCAGGCGGUUUUGUAAGAUCGAUGUGAAAUCCCCGGGCUCAACCUGGGAAUUGCGCUUGUGACUGCAAGGCUGGAGUGCGGCAGAGGGGGAUGGAAUUCCGCGUGUAGCAGUGAAAUGCGUAGAUAUGCGGAGGAACACCGAUGGCGAAGGCAGCCCCCUGGGCCUGUACUGACGCUCAUGCACGAAAGCGUGGGGAGCAAACAGGAUUAGAUACCCUGGUAGUCCACGCCCUAAACGAUGUCAACUAGUUGUUCGUAGAGGUAACUCUGUGAGUAACGCAGCUAACGCGUGAAGUUGACCGCCUGGGGAGUACGGC